AACGAAUAAGUGGAAAAUGUAAAGAAUAAUAUUCCUGGUACUACUUACGUUAAAUUCGUUAAAGGAACAGGAGCUUGACUCUUCGGGACAACGUCAUCAUCCAAUAUAUAUUUGUGAGCAAGGAUUUCUACAAUCACAAUCUAUUAAUUACCAAGAGGAUACUCAACAAUCAAUUAACUCUCCGUUUUAAUUAUUUACUUUAUGAUCAAAAAUGUUUGCGUUUCAUAAACCAAAAGUAUUCCGAUCAAUAAGUGGAUGUUGCAUCUGCAGGGCCAAGUCUAGUAGUUCAAGAUUCACGGAUAGUAAAAAGUAUGAAUCAGUUUUCCAAACCUGUUUCAACCUGGAAGAAAAACGAUUUGGUGAGAUUUGCAAUGCUUGUGUCCUUCUAGUCAAACGUUACCUUAAACUCCCAGCCGGAUCAACGCGUCAUUGGAAUCAUGUUGUUGAUGCAAGGAGUGGGCCUGGAAUUAAGUCCUUAUCGAAAGCUAGAGCGAGUAGACUUAAGCAAAAAGCAAAGGAAUCAAAUCAACUGAACAAAGAGAGUGUGUUAGAUACGAAAUCCGUGUUGACAUCUAUAGUCAAAAAGCAGCGUUUUUCUUCUUCAAGGAAAAGUACUCUUGAUAUAAGACACAUUCAACCAAACACUUCACCAGAUCUUGGAAAGGAUUCCCCCUCAGUAUCUGAUUUUUUGGACAUGAGCAUUUGGAAAAGGCAAAGUGUUUGUUGUGGAACGAUAUUCCGUGGACCUUAUGGAGAGGUUGUUAUUGAUCCCCGAUUUCUUAAUCCAUGUGGCACAUGUAAAAAGAAAGGUACUAAUGAAAAGUCCAAAAAAAGUUCUUCUGAUGAAGAAGACGUUUUAGAUACUGAUGGAAGCGCAGACGAGUCAAUUAGUAGUAGUGGUAGCGGAUGUGAUGCAAGGAGUCCAAAAAGUUGCGACGAUGACGAAGGUUUUUUUGAUAAACCGGCAUCAAGUUCCUCACCACCUACUAAAAUGGAAGUAGCAUGAUAUUUACCUAAAAGUCAUUACCUCUUGUUAGCUAAAUUAUAAAUCAUCCCUCAUUAGUAAGAGAUGAUGAUUUUCUUCAAUUUUAUAGUUAAAUUCAUAGAUGACCUACCUUCAUGCAACAUAUCCUGAUAUUUAAAACAAUUACUAUGGCUCAAAUUUUUUACAUUUGUAUUUUGAAUCUUGAAUCGUGUUGUCGACUAUCUUAAAAACACUGCCAUUUUUUUUUUUUUUUUUUUUUUAAUAUUUGUUAUAAUUAUUACUUAUCCUACAAAUAUCUAAGAGCAAUGAUGAUAUUUUCAAAUUCCAUCUUUAUUAUUAGUUUUAAUGCAGAAAAUAUUAUAUCAUUGUUUGCUUAAACUAAUAAGUGAUUUAAAAUUUUAACACAGAGACUUUUUUGUGCCAAAACGUUAAACAUUCAUAUUUUUAUUGAAGAAAAUGAUAAUUAUUAGUAUUGAAUUACGUAACUAAUAGGACUUUGAUCUGUGCUACUUUUUUUUACAAUCGAAGUCUAAUCAGUAAUAUAUAUAAAUAUUUUUUUUCCUCCCUUGCUAAUUCCAAAGAUUAUCGUUCCCUCCUCCAAUAUUCCAUAUUCCACUGAAUAGGUGAUGAAUGUGUUGUCAAUUAUUUCAAGGGAUGAUCCUCAUAAUAUACUCUUGCAAUACUGAUUUAAAUUGGCACAAUUUUGUUCUACUUUUAUUAUCUAUUUUUAUGCUCAAUGUUCUGAAUCAUUUUUGUUUUUUUUAAGUAAUCCGCUCACUCGAAUAUAAUUUGAGUAAAGGACCCCUGAAAAUGUUUGAUGAUUAAUAUUUAUUAUUAUUAUUUUACCUGGUUUAUUAUGUUUGUGAUAGUUAAAACCUAUGGAUGACUCUAUGUACCUUUAAUAUGGAAGUAAAAUUAACUCUCCAAUAGAAAUUAAAAUUUCUAUUAAAAAAACAAAAAGUUUAAAAAAAUAGUAAAAUGACGAUUAUAAAACAUAAAACACUAAAAAUAGUAAAAUAAAAGUGAAUGUUUAAAAGCAAAGGUUAGGAAUCAACCCUAAACACUUUUUUAGUCAACUUUCAAUAUCUGUUUGUUAAUGAAAAAAAUAUAUGGAAACUUUAAAAAAAAUAUUUAUUACAAAAGUAUUUCUAUAUAUUUGAUUUUUUCUUUUAAUAAUUAUAAAAAUGGUCUAUAUUUUGUAUUGAAUAUUAAUUUAUUUUGUACUUUAAAAAAUAAUUAUUUUUUGUAAUACCCGAUUUGAUGAACAUGCUCGAUUAUUAUAUAUUUUUUGUAUAAUUUUCCAUCUUUACCCCACCAUCAAAAAAAUUUGCUGAAAAUUCACAGAAUUCUAUUUUUUUUUUUUUUUUAUAUUAACAGUUUUAAAUUUACUUGUUCCUGAUAUUUUUAGAGGAUUCGCACGAAAGGAAUCAAUUUUUUAUUUGUCUUUACUCAGUUGGGUAAUAUGAAUUGUGAUCAAAUUAUGUAGGAAAAAUUACAUUCGAUAACAGAUUUAUUGUAAGAUUACUAGAGAUGUGAGACUCGUCGAAAGAUUCGUGAGCCCCAAUUUAAAAAAAAAGUAAAGCCUUGUAAUCUGAAAGAUACUUGUGCUUUUAAUAAGUAUUUCUCCCUAUUUUGAAAAUUCAAACAUAUUCUCAAGCACUAUACUUUAUUUAGUGAUAUUUUUUAGUAGAUAUGUCGUCUAUCAAAGUUACCAACAUAUACUUUUCUUCUUUAUUUAAGGCCGAGUUACCACGUCUAUCGUAUGUGUACACGUCUAAGUGUAUAUUUAUGAGGUAAACUGCAUUUACACUCACGAGAAUUUAGACAUUUUUUCCAUCUUUGGUCUUCUCUCCAACAUAUACUUUUUUAUUGAUAGUCACAAAGAUAUAUAUGAAAUCAAAAAGUAAAGGAUAUUAAACGUUCAUCGUUAAAAACUAUCCAGACAAGGUUUCGGAUUUUUUUUUUUUUCUUAUAAAAACUAAUCUUAAAGACUGAUAUCUUUCCCCUACUGAUUAAAAUACAUGAUUUUGUAAGAUUCAAUUGGCGAUUUGAAUUAAUCCUUUUUGUACUUUUGAAAGAGGCUCUUUUUGACCAUUAGAACGGUUAAGUGUUUGAACUUUUAUAAUACAAAAUAAAUCCCAAUUUGGUCAAUUUUGCGUGCGAUAAGAUUACCCCAUAACUAUGAAAAUUAGACCUAAAAGCAAA
rnacentral:misc_RNA from 1 species